CGCGAAGCUCGCUUUCCUUUGAUGAAGAUGACUUGGAGGAUGUCGGUGUUUUGAUGCCAACACUCUUCAGGAAAUGGUGUGAGCUGUUCUGGGAGAGCACCUUGGACACGACCUGCACACUGGAUGGUGGCGUCUCACCUUCAGCAACAGGCCUUUUUUGGAGCUGGUAUGGCAGGUCUCGAAGGCCUCCAUGACAUCUAAUUCUUCAGUGAGAUCUAAGCUGGGUUCUUCUCUGUUUCUCUUCUGUUUCUGUGUCAUGGAUAAACAAUCAGAGCAUAGUGGUCAGAUCAAAUGCAAGAGAAGUUGUUCAGUGCAAAUGUGGAUGUAUUAGUACAAGGUAUUUUUGACUUACAUAUGCAUGUAAGGUUGCCACAUAGCAGCGAGAACCUGUAGUCUGAUGAUACUUCACUUCACUGCGGUUCCGCUUGUUCGUUGCACAUGUUUGCUACAAGAUAA